UAAUGAAUGGUUUGACAGGAAUGCACUAGUAACCCGAGAACACGAGAAAAAGGAAAAGUACCUUCAAAGACAAGGCCUCCGACUUCGAUCCCUCCUUCAAUGCCAACGAAAUUUGGGGAGUCUUGGAACACGUCCAGAAUUUUUUGUGAUAUGGCAUCAACUGGGGGUGGAGGUGGACCACCACCGGUCUUCAGGCGAUGUGUUUUCUGGCUAACGAUUUCCCCCUUAGCUUUAGAACAAGCUUUCCGAUACUUUUCUUUGACUUGUUCGACUGUUCUUAAAACCCCACCCCUUGAGUUUACAGCUUCUGUGAUCUCGCGCCAUGCAGCAGCCUUUUUAACAUUUGUUACUUGGUUAGUAUGUUUUGAUUUUAUAACCCCAAUAUGUUUCUCCACUUGCUCUACUAAAAAUAAAGUCUCAUCAGCUGAAAAA